AUUGAACGCUGGCGGCAGGCCUAACACAUGCAAGUCGAGCGGAUGAAGGGAGCUUGCUCCUGGAUUCAGCGGUGGACGGGUGAGUAAUGCCUAGGAAUCUGCCUGGUAGUGGGGGAUAACGUCCGGAAACGGGCGCUAAUACCGCAUACGUCCUGAGGGAGAAGGUGGGGGAUCUUCGGACCUCACGCUAUCAGAUGAGCCUAGGUCGGAUUAGCUAGUUGGUGGGGUAAAGGCCUACCAAGGCGACGAUCCGUAACUGGUCUGAGAGGAUGAUCAGUCACACUGGAACUGAGACACGGUCCAGACUCCUACGGGAGGCAGCAGUGGGGAAUAUUGGACAAUGGGCGAAAGCCCGAUCCAGCCAUGCCGCGUGUGUGAAGAAGGUCUUCGGAUUGUAAAGCACUUUAAGUUGGGAGGAAGGGCAGUAAGUUAAUACCUUGCUGUUUUGACGUUACCAACAGAAUAAGCACCGGCUAACUUCGUG
rnacentral:rRNA from 1 species